rnacentral:rRNA from 1 species
UCUUUAUUUUAAAUUUUUUUUUAUUUAAGUAGUGUGAAUAAAUUAUUUGAUUAAUUAUAUUUGAAACUUAAAAAGCUUGGCGGUGCUAUAUAUCCAUUUAGGGGAGCUUGUUUAUUAAUUUGAUAAUCCACAAUUAAUUCUUACUUUUUUUUGAAUAAUUAGCAGUUUGUAUAUUGCUGUCAUCAGUUUAUUUCGUAAGAAUUAUUAAAAAACUUAAAAGUGUGUUUACUAGUAUGUCAAGUCAAAAUGCAGCUAAUAAGAAAGGUUAAUAAUAAAAAUGGGCUACUAUUUAUAAUUUUUAAUUGGAUUAAAUAAUGUAAAGUAUUUUUGAAAUUGGAAAAAAUAGUAAGAAAUAAUAGUAGUUAUUAGAUAGUCCCUGUG